GAUGAACGCUAGCGGCAGGCUUAACACAUGCAAGUCGAGGGGUAUAGGUUUUCGGACCUAGAGACCGGCGCACGGGUGCGUAACGCGUAUGCAAUCUACCUUUCACAGAGGGAUAGCCCAGAGAAAUUUGGAUUAAUACCUCAUAGUAUUAUAGAAUGGCAUCAUUUUAUAAUUAAAGUCACAACGGUGAAAGAUGAGCAUGCGUCCCAUUAGCUAGUUGGUAUGGCAACGGCAUACCAAGGCUACGAUGGGUAGGGGUCCUGAGAGGGAGAUCCCCCACACUGGUACUGAGACACGGACCAGACUCCUACGGGAGGCAGCAGUGAGGAAUAUUGGUCAAUGGGCGCAAGCCUGAACCAGCCAUGCCGCGUGCAGGAUGACGGUCCUAUGGAUUGUAAACUGCUUUUGUACGGGAAGAAACACUCCUACGUGUAGGAACUUGACGGUACCGUAAGAAUAAGGAUCGGCUAACUCCGUGCCAGCCGCCGCAGUAA
rnacentral:rRNA from 1 species